ACCCUGCACUUUAAAGGCAAACAAAAAUGCCUGCACACUAAAAGCUUCUUUCUUUCUCUGCAAAUUUCAGUUACUUUGAAUUUCAAGCAGUUUACACUUUACAGUGUUAUACACAGAAACCCUUUUCUCUCUCUUCUUGUGUCUUUCUCGCCUGGACAUGUAAUUGAACCAUUGGGCCAUCAGCUUUAAGAUUUUCAAAUUUAAAGUGGAAGGAAGAGCGAUCAGAGAGCCCUUGAAGCCGUUGUCCAUAAGAGACUGAAGAGUUUUAUAAUAAACAUAUAUAGAAAUAAAGAAGAGAAAGAAAAAAGAAGGGUUUUGAAAAGAAAGGGUUUCGUUUUUUAUACAAGAGUGAAAUGGCUGAACCAACAUGUCUUAUGAGAUCAUUCUCUCACCCAUCUAGUGCUUCUCGUGAAGCCAAAGAGAAUUGAAGAAUCUGUCAUCAAAGAAGAAUCUCAGCAGAAUUGGAUUGAUAAUGUAGACUCUUUGCUUUCAUGGGAUGGCUUUAGUAAUCUGGAAGAGAUAUUUCCUUUUGACAGUCAUCAAUUAUGCUAAGGAAUAUAUAUGGAUUGUAAAUUUUUCUUUUUUUGACAGUCAUCAAUUAGAAUAAAUUAUAUCACAUAAAUUA